UACGUAGGGGGCAAGCGUUGUCCGGAAUCAUUGGGCGUAAAGCGCGCGUAGGCGGCUUGGUAAGUCUGCUCUGAAAGCCCGGGGCUCAACCCCGGGAGGCGGGUGGAUACUGUCAAGCUAGAGUCCGGAAGAGGAGUGUGGAAUUCCUGGUGUAGCGGUGAAAUGCGCAGAUAUCAGGAGGAACACCAAUGGCGAAGGCAGCACUCUGGGACGUGACUGACACUGAGGCGCGAAAGCGUGGGGAGCGAACAGG
rnacentral:rRNA from 1 species